UCCUACGGGACGCAGCAGUGGGGAAUAUUGCACAAUGGGGGAAACCCUGAUGCAGCAACGCCGCGUGAGCGAUGAAGGCCUUCGGGUUGUAAAGCUCUGUCUUCGCUGACGAUAAUGACGGUAAGCGAGGAGGAAGCCACGGCUAACCACGUGCCAGCAGCCGCGGUAAUACGUAGGUGGCAAGCGUUGUCCGGAAUUACUGGGCGUAAAGGAUGCGUAGGCGGCUUCUUAAGUGGGAUGUGAAAUGCCGGGGCUUAACCCCGGAUGUGCAUUCCAUACUGGGAGGCUAGAGUGCAGGAGAGGAAAGCGGAAUUCCCAGUGUAGCGGUGAAAUGCGUAGAGAUUGGGAGGAGCACCAGUGGCGAAGGCGGCUUUCUGGACUGUAACUGACGCUGAGGCAUGAAAGUGUGGGGAGCAAACAGGAUUAGAUACCCGGGUAGUCCA
rnacentral:rRNA from 1 species